AUGUAUCGGAAAUACAGUAAAAUACAUUACUUUUUGGAUUCAUAUACAGUAAAAUACAUUACUAUGGGAUUCAUAUACGGCGCCUUUUUGGAUGCAAAGAAAGAGAUCUCAGCCAAGUUUGAAAAUGAACAACAAGAAUCUUGUUUUCAAGAAGUGUUGGAUAUAGUGGAUAAAAGAUGGGACAACAAAUUGAAGAGGCCACUACAUAGGGAUGGAUACUUCUUAAAUCCAUACUACUUUUAUGAAAACAAGCUACAAAUUUUGUUGGAUCCAACAUUUAAAGAUGGGGUUGUCAGUUGCAUGGGAAAAAUGGUGGAAGAUGUUCGCCUUCAAGACAAAAUCACAGAUGAACUUAAGGCAUAUCAAGGCGAAGAGGGGUCAUUUGGAAGAGACAUUGCUAAAAGGCAGCGGAAAAACAAAAACUUUGAUCCAGCUGAUUGGUGGUCCAAUCAUGGGUCAAGUGCACCAAAUCUCAGGGUAUUGGCGAUGCGGAUUUUGAGUUUGACAUGCAGCUCCUCGGCUUGUGAGAGGAAUUUCAGUGUUUUUCAGCAGAUUCACACAAAAAGACGCAACAGGCUACUUCAUGACAAAAUGAGAGACCUUGUGUUCAUCAAGUUCAACUCCAAACUAAAGGAAAAGAGAGGGAUGAAAAACAGGGACCCAAUUGAGGACCACACAUUUGUAGAUGUUGUAGAAGAUGAAGGUAAUGAGUGGAUUACUGGUGUUGUGUCUGUUGAAGGAGUGCAAACAGGAGUUGAACCUGAAGAUGUACAAGUUGCACAAUCAACAUCAGGAGGAGAAGUUGCUCCAUCAAAAAGAAAGAUAAUGUCUCAAUCUCGUCCUAGGAAGAAGAAGAAGUUGCUUCCUAUUUAUCGUGAUGAUGAGUUGCAAUCAGCUGAGUCUUCUUCUGAACCGGAAGAUGAUGAAAUGCAUUUACCAGUGAGUGAUUCUGAAUAA
rnacentral:rRNA from 1 species